UUGGUCGACACUGAGUAAGGAGUUCCUUAAAGUGAAGAGGCUUUUCCUUCGCUUCCUGUUGUGGUUUUCUUCAUAUUUCUUAUAUUCUUAUCUGAUGAGGCACACUGGAGCACUGUACUAAGAGAAUGAUGGGACAAAUAUAAAUAAAAGAAAGCCUGACUAGAGAAAGCGAUGAGAGACAAAAGCAAAGACAGAAGAAGAAGAAGCUCCCCAGAACAAAUGAAGCAAGCAAAUGAAUGACUGCCUAGAAGGGAAGGGUGCAGAACCUGAGAAGGACAGGUUAGGAUGUUCAGGAGCUUACUGUAAGACGGAUUGAUAUCAAAACAUUCUGCACCAGUGCCAGUUGAAAUACAUGGUGUUGGCAUCUUUACUUACAGAGAGCUUUCUGCAAACAAGUAAGCAAUAUUAGAAUGACCUAAAGUGGAAGAAGAAAAAAAAAAAGCCCAUCCUAGAAAAAUCCAAUGAGAAUUUCUUGUAAAGCAAAAGACUUGUGAAGUCCAGAAUGUUAUUUCAUAUUUCCAUUAGCUUAAUGGUGCAUAAAUGACUUCCCUGCUUCCACUUACAUGCCUGCCCUCCUUCACCCCACUGUGACCUCUUCCUAAAGACAGUCUUUUCCUGACUCAAAAUAUUUUUGUAGUGUGUGCAACUUUCCAUCUGGGUAGCAUAUGUUUUAAAAUAGACAGGUGUAUGUUGUUAGUCUACUUAAAGUCAUGGAUCUGCUAAAGGUACCCAUUUAAAGACUGCAUCAUAGCUAACAGUAGUGUAAAAAAAUUGAAAUUGUUCAUUGCCAUCAUUUUAAUAAAGAGGCUCAAUAAAUUUAAAGCAAUUUAGAAAACUGUGAUUUGAUUUGCAAAUAAAGGCAUAUAGAACAAUACCUUAAAAGGUCUUCCAAGGCAUUUACAGUUACAGUUUGCCUUUCAAAACAUACCAUCUCCAAAGGCUCCUUGUGCCUUAUGCAUAAUAAUUUCCAAAAUAAACUCUUCCUAAAAGAUGUAGUCAAUCAAUUAUCCUGAAUUUGAUGUUUAUCAGUUAUGCAUGAUCUAGCACACGGUGAGGUCUUUACCUUCAUUUUUCUAAAGGCAUAGGAGUCUUUUUAUUAACUUCAUUGACAACUUAAAAUGUGCUCAUUGGUGCUAUUAUUUUUUCCAUAUCUAAUAUACACCUAAAGUGUAGCUGUUUUUCAUACUUGAGUUGAAAUCCCAUUUUAAAAGCCACCUGUUUUACUUCCCUCCUGUAAAAAUAUCCCAACUUUCAUAUUUUACAUUACAUUUUGUCAGUAUCUUUUAAGGUAUUCAGCAGGUUUUUUUUCAUUAUUUAACAUUAACUAUGGCAUUUUCUUUCACAGAACCAUUCUGCCAACAGGUGCUUAAAGUACCUGUUUGUUUAGAUUAAGUGCAAGAGUCUAACCUGUAUUUUGGCCAACCGGUUUGUGACAAGGAGUUCCACACUGUACUUUUUAAAACUUUCAUCUACGCUAUGUGACCCAAAUUUGUUUCUUUAACGCAGCACUCCAUGUGGGCUAUUACUGCAGUGAAUCUUUAUGCUUAGUCCUCAUUUAACUUAAUAAAAAAUCCACUGUAUUUUUAUAACAGACUCGAAUCAAACCCUACAUCCUCAUAUUCCCAAAUGUAUGAUCUACAGAAUCCACAAUUAAAGCAGAACUUAGAUUUGUCAUGCUCAGAUUCCAUAUAUUUUAGAGAUAAUUGCCAACUGUAAACAGGCAGUUUAACUUAAAUGCUGGGUUUUACACUAACAUGCAUGCUGCUAUUCAGCAUUUCCAGUAUUACUUCCAGGCCUCCAACUAGUAGCUUUGAUGUCUUCUAAAUCCUCGAAAAUACACAUCUAUUGCCAUAUAUACAUGUAAACAUGUGACCACACUGGUUGCUUUCCAUUAUUUGUCAUUAUUCAGCUUUAAUUAGAAACAGUCUAUCUCAUUAACUCAGAGCAUUUUUUGCUGAAAAAUAGGCAUAUUUCCUCCAUUCAAAUAUAACACAAAAUAAAUUAAAUAGAAUUAAAAUCACAUAAUCUUCUAUAUAAGGGCAUAGUCCUUGCACUUCCAUUAAACUCGGCAGGAAUUGUUUCUGCAGAGAUGGAAGUGUCUGGUGCUGGAAAGAAAAAUGCUCCUUAACAUAGCAUCUAGCCAGGUGUUAAGUAAAGAUAUGAUUGGUCAGAAGUGGAGAAAGGCACAUAUUUAGAUGAAGGUUUCAUUAGAG